GUCCUUCCGACUCCCAGGCCCUGUGGUCUAUCUAGGCCACGCGGGUUCUCGACCUGGAAGACUAAUGACUUCCAAACUUCGACGCUUCGCUCCAGGAAGAAUCCCCAGGUUGUUUUCUUCCAUGCCUUUGUGUGUCACUGAGCCCUACUUUCCUCUUAGACUGGCAGCCUUCUGAGGGCCAGGGAGCGUGUCUCUUUUUAGUCUGUGUACUUUUCCCCAGGGUUGCACAUUGAGCAUCCUUAAUAAAUUUUAUUAUUACCA